UGCGUUCUAGUGGACCUGGGUUCGACUC
rnacentral:piRNA from 1 species